CCUACGGGAGGCAGCAGUGGGGAAUAUUGCACAAUGGGGGAAACCCUGAUGCAGCGACGCCGCGUGAGCGAAGAAGUAUUUCGGUAUGUAAAGCUCUAUCAGCAGGGAAGAAAAUGACGGUACCUGAGUGAGAAGCUCCGGCUAAAUACGUGCCAGCCACCGCGGGAAUACGUAUGGAGCAAGCGUUAUCCGGAUUUACUGGGCGUAAAGGGAGCGGAGGCGGCGUGCCAAGGUUGAGGUGAAAUACCGGGGCUCAACCCCGGGGCGGCAUUGGAAACUGUGUAACUGGAGUGCAGGAGAGGCAGGCGGAAUUCCUAGUGUAGCGGUGAAAUGCGUAGAUAUUAGGAGGAACACCAGUGGCGAAGGCGGCCUGCUGGACUUUAACUGACGUUGAGGCUCGAAAGCGUGGGGAGCAAACAGGAUUAGAUACCCUUGUAGUC
rnacentral:rRNA from 1 species